GAUUUCAGAAUCUGAAAUUCCAUUUCCACAUAGAUAUGGAACCUUAUACAAAAUUCAAUAUGCAGUGCACUGGCAUCAAGAAGGUGAUGAGGUGGAAAAGUUGCACAUCAAUUGGAUUAGAAAACUUUAUAGUUAUAUGGAACCUUUUGUUUCAAAGUCUCCAAGAGCUGCAUAUAUUAAUUAUAGAGACCUUGAUAUUGGGGUGAAUAACAUUAAUGGAUACACAAGCUACAAGCAAGCUAGUAUUUGGGGUGUUAAGUACUUCAAGAACAACUUCAAAAGAUUGGCAAAAGUGAAGACAAAAGUUGAUCCUCUAAACUUCUUCAGAAAUGAACAAAGUAUACCUUCUCAUGUGUCCAAGGGACGCAAAUAGAAUUUCUUGGAGCUCAAAAGGUCAUAGUAAUAAAAUACAAGCUGCUUUGUUAUUUCUCAAUGAUAGUUAUCUUUUAUAUGUGUACUUUUAAUUUAUACUCAUACUUAAGAAAGGAAUGAAUGAAUGCUUAUAGAUUAGCAGUGGCAGAUUCAUAAGCUUAUUGUAAAAUGUUGAGAAGUAUGGAAAUUCCCAACAAAUAGAAAAAUAAAAUGAUAGAAAGGUUUAUUUUGGAAUUGAUAGUAUGAAGAAGCUUAGUCAAUUGAUAGAAACUAAAUAGUUUUCAUAAGCAGUAACAAAAGAAAGAUAUACAACAGAUUGCAUAAAUGAAAGCUUCCCAAAUUUUCUGGUAAACCAUAUAGGACCAAAUUAUUCUUUCGACAUAUAGAUUAAAAAGGGAGCGAAAUCAGAUUUGUCAUCACUAUUAAUGUAUUUCUUCGAAACAUAAGUAAAAUUAGUCCUCCGCUAUUAAGUUAGGGCUCUUAAAUUAGAAAAUGCAGCACACAUGUUGCGAAAGAGAGGUCAGCUAGGUAAUGUCCUAGAGCCAAUCUUAAAUUUUCAUUCAGAAAGUUAGAAGAAAUGCAAAAACAGAUUUGUUGCAGAAAAUAUGAGCAGAGAGCCAAAGAAAAUAAAGGCAACAUGUUCCUCGUUAGAACCUUCUGAGUUAGUUUUGUGGAAAGCCAUAACGACGGAGAAAAACUACUAAUAGAUUUGUCAUUGGUGUGCCUAACUGGAUUUUCGACAGAAGGGUUGAUAGUUUCGCGUCAUAUCUAAGACCUCUAACAACCAAUCAUGCCAUAUUGAAAAUGAAAAUUACUAGUAGUGCUAUUCCAAAAGAAUAAAAAAGUUAUAAUUAAAGGCUUUUCGAUUUUUCUUGUCAAAAGGGGAUCUGAUAGAAUGCAUAUUUUUCUUGAAAACAACGGUAUAAUUCUUUCUGGAGUCCUAAAUACAAGAGACAGUUGAAUCAACAAAAGUUGUUUAGGACCGGAAGGAAUAAGAAGGAAGAGAAAGCAAUGGUUUCUUGGUUUUCAAGAUUUGGGAAAGUUCCCUCAAAAAGAUUUGGCACAAGCUCCGGAGCAAGCAUAGGACCAAAAAAAGCAAGGGAUAAUGAAGAUUUCUUAUGCUUGAAAUGGUUGAUUAUCUAACUUGCUUGGCAAAGAUAUUUCUUUUUCAGAACUGGUUCAUUAGGCACUAGUGGAGUGGUAGCAGUAAAAGGUUGAGGAAAUGUCAUUGAUGGUUGGAAGAAAGAGGAGGGAAGAAGAAGGGUUAGAGCUAAUGAAGUGAGAUUAAAAUCACAAAGACAAUGGUUAUUUAUAAGGAGAAAUUGGAAAAAAACAGUUGCUAAAAUCUAGGAAAAUUAUGUGAUUGCUUAAUUUUCAGGUACAAGAAAUUGAUUGGUUAAUUUUGUACGAGCAAGUGGUCGUGGAUAUGAUUAAAUUCAGAUUUUUGGAAGUGGUUUUUAGUAACAACUUCACUCUAUUUAAUGCUAUUAUUUGCAAAAUGUCCUUCAAUGAAAUCAAUUUCCAUAUAACCAAGUUGUUUGGGCUCCAGCGGCAAGGAGUUCCUUCCAAGGACGUAUUCGGAGAAUACCGGGUUCGAUUCUCAGGGGAAACAACGCUUGGCCAGUGCGCAUGCCUCUACGCAUGAGCCGAAUUAAUUGUCCACCUUUGGUGGGUCGGAAACCGAUGCGAAAGCAAAAAAAAAAAAUCAAAAUAUAAUUAAAAGUAUUGGGUAGUUUAGGAAGUACAAUUAUGUUUUUGUUUACAUCAAGAAAAUUAAUUAAAUUUAACCACUUUUCUUAAUCUAUAUAAAAAAAAAGUUGUAUUACUCAUAAUUGAAUGAGAGAGAUCCAAGGAAAAAAGUGAAUAGAGUACUUUAUCUAACAUGUACAAGUAAAAUGGUAUUGCAUUAUGUAUAAAUAUCAUUUUUUAUCAUUGAAUUGAAAAAUCAUAUCAUAUUUAAUUUAAUUUAAUAGUGAGAUUUAUUUCACUUGUGGAUAAUAGAAUUGGCCAAAACAUAUCUAAGAAAAACGAAUUGGCCAAAACAUGGAUAUGUUCUUGGCAAAAUCACACCUUAAAGAAAAUAGUUUGAAUCUAGGUUUAUCGAUAACGGAACUUGAGAUUCAGUUAGAGCAGUUGAUAAUACGUACCAAUAGUAAACGUGAUCAAAUGGUACCUAGCAAAUAAUUUACUUAUCAGAAGUGGACUCAUGUGAACCAAACCAUUGGGAUUAUGUGGGGUAACUCAGUAGUUAUUUUUGGAUCCAGGUCUACAAGAUUUACCGUCUAACUUGUUCACGUGGAAGAUACUCGGUUUGUUUCCAAAAAAUAUGAUAUAUGUGUAGUCAAAUACUCUAAAAUAUCAUGAUAAAUAAUUUUUUUUUUUGAAAAAACUAAACUAGUCCAACCAAAUUGACAAAAUAUGGAGAUCAACCAUGAGAUCUUGAGGAAGAGUCCUAAGCCAAUACUACCGGACCAAUCCAAGUGAAUUUCAUGUUAAAUAUCAAGAGAGUUUAAUAUCAUUAGUCUAUUAGUUCAUUAGUCUAUUUUAAACAUAGAACAAAUUGAUACUUAAUUAAAUGUGUUCAUAUGAAAUGAUUUGUUUUUGGUCGAAAAUAUGAAAUAGAUUUUUAAAUAGACUAAUAACUCAUACCAGACUUUCAAAAUAUUAGACUUAAAUCUUUUACAUCUCUGACUUCAGUCUUGCAAAUAUUAGAUUAUUAAGGGUUCUAGCAGAAAAAAAAAAUCAACUAAAAAAUAGUUAGUUGUCGAAUUUCCUAUAAUUUUGAUGUAUAUUUAUAUUUAAGUUUUGAAAUAAAAAUGAAUUGCUAAGGGUAAUUUUGUUUAGCAAAAGGUCCGGUCAAUAGGUAGUUAAUUGAUAGUUAACUUUCGAGUUGCCUUUAUAAAAUUUAGCGGAAAUACGAACACUUUUUUUUUUUUUUUUAUUGUUUUUCGUUGUACAUAUAUUUUACAUAAACUUAUUUAAAUUCCAUUUUUAAUAUUAAGUUUAUACAUUUUUAAGUUUGAAAUAUAAAAAUAAUGUUCAACAAAGAUAGGUAAUUACUUUUCAAAUACCCUAUAAUUAUGUCGUCGAUUUGAGUUUAAAUUUAAACGUAAUAAAUUAAAUGGUUUUCUUAAGGUGAACUUGGUUAAAAAAAUAUCUAACCAAAAAAUAACUACAUGAUAGAUAAGUUUUGAGUUUUUGUCCAAAAAAAAUGUACCUUUUGAGUUGUUGACAAACAUACACAGACAUGAGACACAUAAAUGGAGAGAGAGAUAUAUCAAACUACAUCAAUGAAUGUUACGUCAAUAUUACACCGCUCAAUAAUACAGUAUUACAUUACGCAACAACACUUAUGCUAGACUCCAAACACUUGGUUAUUUAGAAAACUCAUAAGCGUAAUCACUUGGAUUAUGAGUCAAAAAAUCAGUUGAAUUAAAUUUUAAUUUGCUGCAAGCCUGCAACUUGAAGAGGUUGAUGAGAGAUUAAUUAAAACAUAUGUUUUUUUUAGGGGAUAAAGCAUAUGUUGUUUAUAUUUAUUAAUAUUGUUCGAGUCUUUAGUCCUCUUUUUUUUAAAAUAAAAAUAAAAAUUGAUGAAUAGAAUAAUUAGUUAUGCUUAUUGAAAUAGCAGACAAGAUAAUCAAACAUUAGAAACAGUCAAAAACAAAAGGGAGCCAAGCAAUCGAAAUACAUUAAAACAGCUCUAAAUAGUAUAAAUAGCAUACAAAUCAAUCAUAUACAAUUAAACACAAAACUAAUUUGCUUCUCCAAUAUGAUGUCACUUUGGAAUAAGUGGCUUAGACCAAGGUGUGUUCUUCUCCAAUUGUCACAUAUAUAUUAAUAAUUUAGUGCAUGCUUUCUCUGAAUUGGAUUGUGAUGUUUCAACGAUAACUAAUACUAGUAAUUAAAUUUGUUUCUAAUACAAGACGUACGGUCAUGUAUCUGUUUUCUUAAUUUAUGCAACUUUUGUAAUGGUCCCCUUGCAUUGCAUAUUUAUUGUUUAGCAAGUAGCCAUAACCACUUCUAAUUCAAACCAAAGAAACUUUAUUUUAAUAAUAAUAAAAUGUUGAAAUAAAACCACAUACCCUGUCUGUUUAGCAAGGAAAAUUUUCUAAGCUUUGUGCAUCAAGUAAAAAAGGUGAGUCAAAGUCAACAGUACUAGCUUUAUUUUAAGCCUUGUUUUUUUGGAGGUGUAGAUGAACUCAUGCCCUUGAUGCAAGAGAAGUUUCCUGAGCUUGGUUUGGUUAGAGAAGGAAUAUGGCCUAUAUUUGAUGAAGAUGGUGACAAUGAUACUGUUUCCUUAUGGUGGCAUAAUGGAUAAUAUUUCAGAAUUUGAAAUUCCAUUUCCACAUAGAUAUGGACAUGGCCAGUUAUGUGUAACUGCAACAAGGCCCUUGGCGCCGCAAAGCCUCUAACAUAAACGGGCCUCAAAAUUUGAAAAUAAAAAGCUUGUACUCACUAAGGAUGUUUUUUCUGUCCAUAAAAAAAUUACUUUAUAGUUAAAAAAAAAAUGUAUCAAAACCACCGUUGAAUACUUCUUUGGAAAAAGUUGGAAAUUUUGGGUGUGCCUGUCGUAUUAUGUGUCACAUAUAUGUGGGAUGUUAUUUAGUGUUUUGAGGUCUAUUGAACAAGCUAUAUUUGUGAGUUUGAUACCUGUUUUUGUUUAGUAAAAUACAUUUUUAGUUACUAUAUAUUUAAAUUUUCAAGUUUUGUAUUUUGCGGUGAUUAAAAAAUUCACAUUUUUUUAUUCCAUACAAGUAAUCAAUUCCAUCUAAAAAUUGAUGUCAGUUUAGCCAUUGAAAAAUCUAUACAAACCUGUGAAUGCCUUCAAAUAAUUGGAAGGUUAACAUUGAAUCUUAUGAAUGACAUCCAAGAGGGUUGUCUUACAUUGCAAUGGAUUUUAACCUAAAAAGCUAUUACGUGUUAAUCUAAGGUUAAUUAAUUUUCUGAGACUCAAGGCUUUGAUUGGCUUGAAGAAAUCGAUUGACAUUUCUAUGAUGAUCAAAGGUAGCAUUAAUAAUUUGAUCGGAUGCAACGUCUUCUUUCAAAUCUCAGCCAUGACAAAAAAAAAAAAAAAUGAAGGUUCAAGUUAGCAAAAGUGCACAUUUUUAUUUGAAUAAAAAAAAAUUAAUAUUCAUUAGUGUAAACCAAUUUAAAGCAAGAGAUAAUUAAGUAAAUAUCCCUCAAGCUAUUUAUUAUAAAAUACAAGUGGAUCUAAGUUAGCAAAUUUGUGAAGUUAACAAAUAUGUUUUAACACUAUUUUUUCAUACAUAAGACUAUUAUAAUUUUUUUCAUCAAUUGGAGGCUUUAGUUUUUUCCAAGAGCAUGCAUUCCCACUUGUUUCUAUUGAAAAAUCAUAAGCCUAAUCAGUUGGAUUAAAGUAAUGUUGCAACUUGAAGAGAUUGAUGAGAGAUUUAUUGAAUAAUCAGAUUAGAUUGGUUUUUUUUUUAAAAGAGUCAGAUUAGAUUGUUGUUAACUACUCUCUAAUUUUAUUUUAUUUUUGGUCAAGAACUACUCUCUAAUUAAUUUUGUUUUAACAUGAAUAAAUAUGAUAUUGUUCAAUUUUUCGGUCCUCUUUAUUUUUUUAAUAAACAUGCAAAAUGCAGUGAUAAAAGGAAUAAUUAGUAAUGCCGAUUGAAGUAGUAGUAGACAAGAUAAUCAAAAACGAGGACGCCAACUACCACAAGCCACCAAAAGACAUAAAAACAUAAUCUAAAUUUAAAUAGUAAAUUGUUUAAAGACUAAAUUACAUAUCAUGUGAGUAAUUCAACAACAAUUCCGAAUAAAAUUACAUAAGAUUAAUUUACCUAAAGUAUAAUUUAAAGGGGUGAAGAUCCUCUCCAUUUAACAAAAUAAAUGGAGUUUUGCUAGUUUGAGAGAGAUAGACACAAGAAAUAGAUGGUGGGUCCUACUACUAAGUGGAUUCCACCAUCAUUAAUUAUAUUUUACUUUUUUCAAGAUUUUAUGUGUCUUUAUCUCUCCAAAUUGAAAAAAUGGAGAAACGCAUAAAUGGAGAGGAUCUUAAUCCAAUUUAAAGACUAGGCUAAACUAAUUAACUAGAUGCCAAUUUGAAUUAACUGGAUUGGGCCAAGUGUCCAAGUUGUGUUCUCUCCAAUUGUCACUUGCAUACAUACUUUUAAACUAAUUUUUUGAAUCUUUUUUUAUACAUUGUUUCUACCAUAUAUUUUUGUCUCUGGAUCUUAUGAUGUUUCAACAAUAACUUAAAUUAAUAUCUUCACCAAAAAAAAAAAUAACUUAAAUUAAUAUGCAUCUAAUAGAUAACAGUCAUUUAUAUAUUGAAAUAAGAAGCGUGUGAUUCCAAUUAAUAAUUACAGUUAACUUAAAUGGACCAAUAGAUUAUUCGUUUUGUUUAUUCAACUUUUUAGAAUGGUCUUCCUGCAUGUUUAACAAGCAGUAUCAACCACUUCUUUUAGUCAAAAAAAAAAUCAACCUCUUCUUGUUAAAAUCAAAUAAAAAUAUUUAUUUUAAUGAAAUUGAUAGAGACUCAUACCUUGUAUGAUUGCCCGGGGUUUUCUUUUGUUUUGUUUUUUUAUAGUAAGGACGGGACUUUUCUAAUAUAAAAUGAUUCAAAUUCUAAGCUAUAGUUUCACGUGAUUGACUUACUUCUCUACUAUGCAUGUUGGAUUUAGAAAACUUUAACUAGUUGGAAUUUCCUUAGUAGAGAAUUUAUGAAAACAACUUUGGCAGUUUAUAAUUUUUUUUUUCUUCUUUCAAAAAAUAAUAAUAAUUGUUUUUCUAACUUAUUUUCAUAUGCUCUCUACGAUUAAUCAAGUGAUUUGAUUUAAAAGUUCUACCAAUGACACAUUGUUCAAGAAAACUUGAGAGAAUUUAUUUUCAUAUGCUCUCGAUGAUAACUUAUGAAAACAAACUAUGAUUUGAGGGACAGAUAGUUAUUUUGAUAUUUAAAUGUGUAACGAAUAGUCGCAGUAGUAUCUCAAUGUAUUUGAAUUUUAAAAUAGUCUUUGAUUUUCAUUUUGUUGGUCAAAUAGUCUCGGAAGUGACAAUAAAUAAGUAUAUUGAAGUACUAAUAUGACUAUAUUAACAAAGUAUUUUAAUGUUACAAACUAUUUUGACUAACGAAAUGCAUAAUCGUAGACUAUUUUAAAAUUUUGAUACAUUGAUGGACUAUUAUAUGGCUACUCCUUACAUACAAAAUGAUAAUUACCUUUUAUAAAUAAAACACAAUAUGUUGAGAAUAAGAACAACAACCUUAUGCAAAACUUGUGGAAUCAAAUAAGUGCACAUUUGCUAACUUAUAUGAGAAACAAAUUGUUUUUAUAGUUUUGUUACAAAAAAUAGUUUUUUUUAAACAAUUAGAUAAAGCACAAUUAUGCAAUAAGUGUUUAAUUGUUAAUCCACAUGGAUAUUUAUCUUCGAGCAUGUAGAAACCCGCCUAUAAAUUUGAAGCAUCAUAUGCACAACAUUACUAAAACAAAAUGAUGCCUCUAAGCUCAUAUUUGUCUGUUGCACUUAUUGCUAUUUUAUUUUCAUAUGCAUCUUCUGCAAUUGAUACUAAUACUUAUGAAGAUAACUUCCUUCAAUGUCUUUCUAGUUAUUCACAUAACUCAACUUCAAUCUCUAAAGUUGUGUACACCAAAACCAAUCCCUCUUACUCACCAGUACUCAAAUUUACAACUCAAAAUCUAAGAUUUGCAUCCUACAAAACACCAAAACCACUUGUCAUCAUCACACCUCUAGAACCUUCCCAUAUUCAAACAGCCAUAAUUUGUUCCCAAAAUCAUGGCCUCCAGAUUCGAACCCGUAGUGGGGGCCAUGACUUUGAGGGCCUAUCCUAUGUUUCAGAAAUUCCAUUUGUUGUCAUUGAUCUCAUAAACUUCAAGGAAAUUGAUGUAGAUGUAGAAAGCAGAACUGCUUGGGUUCAGUCUGGUGCAACACUUGGUGAACUUUACUACACAAUUAGCCAAAAAAGCCGAAAUCUUGCUUUCCCAGCUGGUGCUUGUCCUACAAUAGGUGUUGGUGGACAUUUCAGUGGUGGCGGCUAUGGAACCUUGUUGCGUAAAUAUGGUUUAGCCGCGGAUAAUGUAAUCGAUGCUCACAUAAUUGAUGUGAAAGGUAGGUUACUUGACAGAGAAGCAAUGGGUGAAGAUUAUUUUUGGGCUAUUAGAGGUGGUGGAGGAGCAAGUUUUGGAGUCAUAAUUUCAUGGAAGAUAAAACUUGUUGAAGUUCCAGCAACAGUGACGGUGUUUACAGUUCCAAGAGCAUUGGAACAAAAUGCAACAAAGCUUGUUCACAAGUGGCAGUAUUUGGCAAGUAAAAUUGAUGAAAACAUAGCCAUCAAUAUUGUCUUUCAAAGGAUAAAUUCAAGUAAAAAAGGCGAGACAACAAUUCUAGCUAUAUUUCAAGCCUUGUUUCUUGGAGGUGUAGAUAAACUCAUUCCCUUGAUGGAUCAAAAGUUUCCUGAGUUGGGUGUGGUCAGAGAAAAUUGUAUUGAAAUGAGUUGGAUUGAAUCGGUUCUUUACCUUUUUCAAUUUCCGAAAGGUGCAUUACCUGAAGUGUUGCUUAACAGAACACUAGCUGCAAACAGCCCAAGAUUUAUUUACAAAGCAAAAUCUGAUUUUGUGAAAACUCCCAUUCCUGAAAAUGGAUUAGAAGGAAUAUGGUCUUUGUUUCAUGAAGAAGGUGCCAAAGGUGCAAUGAUGAUAUGGUUUCCUUAUGGUGGAAUAAUGGAUACUAUUUCAGAGUCUGAAAUUCCAUUUCCACAUAGAAAAGGAAAUUUAUAUCAUAUUCAUUACCAGGUUGAUUGGCAACAGGAAGGUGAUGAGGUGGAAAAACUGCACAUUAAUUGGAUUAGAAAACUUUAUAAUUACAUGGAACCUUUUGUUUCAAAGUCUCCAAGAGCUGGAUACAUCAAUUAUAGAGACCUUGAUAUUGGUGUGAAUAACAUUGAUGGAUACACAAGCUACAAGCAAGCUAGUAUCUGGGGUGUUAAAUACUUCAAGAACAAUUUCAGAAGAUUGGCAAAUGUGAAGACCAAAGUUGAUCCUCUAAACUUCUUCAGAAAUGAACAAAGUAUACCUUCUCUUGUGUCCAAGGGACACAAAUAAAUUAAUUGGAGUAGCUAAGGUCACGAUAAUAAAAAAUAAGCUGUUUUGUUAUUUCUCUUUUAUAUGUGUAUCUUUUCUUUAUAAAUAAAGGUUUAGGGGAGUGGGGUCUAGAGCUAAGGGGUAAAGGCUUCAAGGCUCAAAGAGCAUUUUUAGAGAGAUAAUUACAUAUUACAUGCCAACAAGGUCUUCUUCAAUCGGGAGCAAGAAGAUUUCCACAUCUUUUUUGGAUGAGUAUCUGAUGCAGCAUUCAUCAACCCCUAGAUAUUCUAUGUGUGUAUUUAUUUUUACAUGUUUGUUUACUUUUACUUAAAACAAUGAUACUUGAAUAAAUUACUAAAGUUUGGUGUUAAACUUGACAUAUAUUUGUGUUUAUUGAAAGGAUAUUCCUGCGAAAACUGCUGGUUACACCCCCUAUAUUUGUAGUUAGCCCUUUGACACCAUUUAAUCAACAAAAUGGCCAAAGAAUGCCUAUAACUAGCCGGUAACAGUUGCUAAAACUUUCGAGAUACAUGCUCAUAUAUCUUCAACGACAACUUUGAAUGACAUCACAAGUUAGCUAAACUAUCAGUACAUUUAUUAGUUUCUCGGAAAAUAUGCUUAAUUUUGGCCUCAUGAUCUUCUUAUUGGGAACAACAAGACCUCACCCAUUAGUCGCGCUUACAUACUUGCCCUACAAACAAUCAACUACAUUAACUUUAGAAUCCAUAAGAAGCCUCCUACAUGUUAAAUAUCUUUUUCUUGUGAAUUGAAGACCCUCUUAUCAUCUACUCCUAUGCUGGUCAGAGUUAUACCGAAAAAAUUGGACAAACCUCAAAUUUAAGCACCAUUUGCAUCCCUUAACACCCCUCCGAAACAUGUUAACCUAGAAUUUUGAUGAGCACGAUCCGUAUUGAUAUGAACGCAUCCUGGCAGGGGCAGUUUCCAGUUGAUACUCAUACACGUCUUCAUCUUUAUCGUUGGUUGAAAUAAGGCAGCAUCAUUAUGGUAGUCACUCACUUGUUUGAAAACAACAAUCCGAAGUUUGUUACGUAAAUUCUAGGAUAAGUAUGUUUAAGUAAAUUCUGUUCAAGUACACUUUUGGUGAGAUUUGAGAAUUUGAUAGAGUUUGGGAUAAUUUGGCUUAUUUUGGCUUUUUAAAACCUGCCAUGAUGUUACUUAGAAUUAUGGGAUGAAACUAUAAGUUGUAUUCCAUGCUCUGUUGUAAACAUUUUGAGAAUUACAUAAGUAUUUAUAUUGUUUACUGUUUUUAUGCAUUUCGAAUUUCAAUUUGUUUGGAAAAGAUAUAUUUGCACACAGUUUUUUAGAACUAGCAUGCUCAUGUUCUUGUAUAAAAAAAAAAAAAAAAAUCAAAAUGCUCAUAUAACAUGUUGGCUGGACCACCUUCAUGUUGUUCAACCAUCGCAAGUCCUCGUCUCCAGCUAUGAAAUGACGACUUGGAAGGCAACUAUUCCAGACUGGAUCAAGGUCCAAUCCUAAAGUGUGAAGGCUUAAUAAAGAUUCUGAUCCAAAUAUGGAUCACCUACUCCUACAUAAAUAAGGCUGCAAAACAGAGAAAGGGAUUACUCGGAUCACAAUCACACGAUUACUCGGAUCACAUGUCCAGACUGGAUCUAGGUACUCUUAUCACAAUCACACGAUUACUCGGAUCACAUGUCCGAGAAAGCACAACCGCCUAACAUCCUCGUGCUUACGCGGAAACUUCAACCGUCUAUAAAAAAGGAGUCACCCACUCUAAAAAAUUAGCACACUCUCAUUUAAAAAAAGCCUCUUUAUUACAAGUACAUCAUUUUGCUCCGGUGAAAGACAACCGCAUCCCACCUACUCUGGUCGUCGUCCUUACACUUUCUUUUCCACUUGAAAUGUAUAAUUUAAAGACUAAACUAAUUAAUUAAGUGGAUUGGAUUGAACCAAGUUAUAUUCUCUCCAAUUGUCAAUUGCAUACUACAAAACUAUUAUUUUUUUGUGCAAGUUAACUCUUUAUUAAAGCUUUGUUUUAAACAUAUUUCCUUGUCUCUGAAUUGGACUACGAUGUUUAAACAAGAAUUAAUACUUAAAUAUGUUUCUGAUAGAUGAGUUCAUUUUUAUAUAUUGAAAUAAGAAGCAUGCUCCCAAUUAGCUCGCUUUCUUUAUGCAAAAUUUAGAAUGGUAGUAAGUAGCAACAACCACUUCUUAUCAAAUAAAAAAUUGAUUUCAAUGAAGUUAGAUAAAACAACAAAAGAAAAAACACCAUACCCUGCCGGCUUAACAGGGAGAACUAUUGUAUAAAAUUGAAAAAGUCAAGAUUCAAAUGUGUAGUUUCACAUGCUUGACUUGUCUACCAUAGUAGUUUUAGCAGAUACUUUAUUUAGGAGAUAAGCGUUUGAGAAAUUUUUCAUAAGUUGUUUUUCAACUUAUUUCUAUAAAAAUUCCUAGGAUAACUUAUGAUAACGGUUUAUAAUAUAUGAAAACAGACUGUUUUAUUCUUUCUUUUUUGUAAUAUAGUUUAUAAAAUGAAACGAAAAAAAUUAUACGUAAGCACUUAUUUGAUAAGCGGUUAUGUAAUAAGUGUUUAAUUUGUCUAUCCACUGUAGAUUUAUUCUCUACACCCACUAGAGUCUAAAAUCUAGCACAAGUGGUUGGUGCGAAGUUUAAAAAAAUGAAACAAAAUAAAGUUUACAUAAGCACUUAUUUAAUAAGCGGAUUAUAGAUUUCAACUCCAAAUUAUUCUAUAUACCAAUAAAAAUUAGAGCAUAGAGUGACACUUAUAAAUUUGAAGCAUCUUAUGCACAACACUACACUAACAAAAAAAUGAUGCAUCUAGGCUCAUACUUGUCUAUUGUACUAAUUGCUAUUUUAUUUUCAUUUACAUCUUCAGCAAUUGGUACUACUACUACUACUAAUGAAGAUAAUAGCUUCCUUCAAUGUCUCUAUAGCUAUUCACAUAACUCCACUUCAAUCUCUAAAGUUGUGUACACCAAAGCCAAUUCAUCAUACACAUCAAUACUCCAAUUUUCAACUCAAAAUCUCAGAUUUGCAACCAACAAAACACCAAAACCACUUGUAAUUGUCACACCUCUAGAAAUUUCCCAUAUUCAAGCAACCGUAAUUUGUUCCCAAUACCACAGCCUGCAGAUUCGAAUUCGCAGCGGCGGUCACGACUUUGAGGGUCUGUCUUAUGUCUCUGAAGUUCCAUUUGUUGUCAUUGAUCUCAUAAACUUCAGAGAAAUUGAAAUAAAUGUACACAAAAAAACUGCAUGGGUUCAAUCUGGUGCAACACUUGGUGAACUUUACUACGCAAUUAGCCAAAAAAGCAAAACUCUUGGUUUCCCUGCAAGUGUUUGUCCUACUGUAGGUGUUGGGGGACACUUCAGUGGUGGUGGAUAUGGAACCUUGUUGCGUAAAUACGGUCUUGCAGCCGAUAACAUCAUUGAUGCCUACAUAAUUGAUGUGAAGGGUAGGUUUCUUGACAGAGAAGCAAUGGGUGAGGAUUUCUUUUGGGCUAUUAGAGGUGGUGGAGGAGCAAGUUUUGGUGUCAUAGUUUCAUGGAAGAUUAAACUUGUUGAAGUUCCAUCAAUUGUGACAGUGUUUACUGUUCCAAAAACAUUGGAACAAAAUGCAACAAAGCUUGUUCACAAGUGGCAAUUUUUGGCAAGUAAACUUGAUGAAAAUAUAGCCAUGAAUAUUGUCUGGCAAAGGGUAAAUUUAAAUUCAAGUAAAAAAGGUGAGUCAAAGUCACCGGUACUAGUUUUAUUUCAAGCUUUGUUUCUUGGAGGUGUAGAUAAACUCAUACCCUUGGUUCAAGAGAAGUUUCCUGAGCUUGGUUUGGUUAGAGAAUAUUGUAUUGAAAUGAGUUGGAUUGAAUCUGUUCUUUACUUUUUUCAGUUUCCAAAAGGUUCUACACCUGAAGUGUUGCUUAACAGAACACAAGCUACACUUGAUAUAUUCAAAGCAAAAUCUGAUUUUGUGAGAAUUCCAAUUCCUGAAACUGGAUUAGAAGGCAUAUGGCCUUUAUUUGAUGAAGAGGGUUCCAAAGAUGCAAUGAUGAUAUGGUUUCCAUAUGGUGGCAAAAUGGAUACUAUUUCAGAGUCUGAAAUUCCAUUUCCUCAUAGAAGUGGAAACUUAUUCAUGAUUCAAUACUCGGUUCAUUGGCAUCAAGAAGGUGAUGAGGUGGAAACACUGCACAUUAAUUGGAUUAGAAAACUGUAUAGUUAUAUGGAACCUUUUGUUACAAAGUCUCCGAGAGCUGCAUAUAUUAAUUACAGAGACCUUGAUAUUGGUGUGAAUAACAUUAAUGGGUACACAAGCUAUAAGGAAGCUAGUAUUUGGGGUGUUAAGUACUUCAAAAAUAACUUCAAAAGGUUGGCAAAAGUUAAGACUAAAGUUGAUCCUCUAAAUUUCUUCAGAAAUGAACAAAGUAUACCUUCUCAUGUGUCCAAGGGACGCAAAUAGAGUUUUCUGGAGUGGCAUAGGUCAUAAUGAUAAAAUAGUAGCUGCUUUGUUAUUUAUCUUUUAUAUGUGUAUCUUUUCUUUGUUAUAAUAAAAGUAAAUUGAUUUUUAUUUGUGUGUAA
rnacentral:lncRNA from 1 species